GAACUCGGCAAAUUGGUACCGUAACUUCGGGAUAAGGUACGCCCUUGUAGCUUGACUGGCCUGCGCCAGAAGGGUGAGAGGGUUGCAAUAAACUGGUGGCUGCGACUGUUUAAUAAAAACACAGCACUCUGCAAACACGAAAGUGGACGUAUAGGGUGUGACGCCUGCCCGGUGCCGGAAGAUUAAAUGAUGGGUGCAAGCUCUUGAUUGAAGUCCCGGUAAACGGCGGCCGUAACAAUAACGGUCCUAAGGUAGCGAAAUUCCUUGUCGGGUAAGUUCCGACCUGCACGAAUGGCGUAACGAUGGCCACACUGUCUCCUCCCGAGACUCAGCGAAGUUGAAGUGUUUGUGAUGAUGCAAUCUACCCGCGGCUAGACGGAAAGACCCCAUGGACCUUUACUGUAGCUUUGCAUUGGACUGUGAAUCGAUCUGUGUAGGAUAGGUGGGAGGCUAUGAAAGCGGAACGCUAGUUUCGCUGGAGCCGUCCUUGAAAUACCACCCUGGUUUGUUUGCGGUUCUAACCUUGGCCCGUGAUCCGGGUCGGGGACAGUGCAUGGUAGGCAGUUUGACUGGGGCGGUCUCCUCCCAAAGUGUAACGGAGGAGUACGAAGGUACGCUAGGUACGGUCGGAAAUCGUGCUGAUAGUGCAAUGGCAUAAGCGUGCUUAACUGCGAGACCGACAAGUCGAGCAGGUGCGAAAGCAGGUCAUAGUGAUCCGGUGGUUCUGUAUGGAAGGGCCAUCGCUCAACGGAUAAAAGGUACUCUGGGGAUAACAGGCUGAUACCGCCCAAGAGUUCAUAUCGACGGCGGUGUUUGGCACCUCGAUGUCGGCUCAUCUCAUCCUGGGGCUGUAGCCGGUCCCAAGGGUAUGGCUGUUCGCCAUUUAAAGAGGUACGUGAGCUGGGUUUAAAACGUCGUGAGACAGUUUGGUCCCUAUCUGCCGUGGGCGUUGGAUAUUUGAAGGGGGCUGCUCCUAGUACGAGAGGACCGGAGUGGACGAACCUCUGGUGUACCGGUUGUCACGCCAGUGGCAUCGCCGGGUAGCUAUGUUCGGAAGAGAUAACCGCUGAAAGCAUCUAAGCGGGAAACUCGCCUUAAGAUGAGAUAUCCCUGGGGCUUCAAGCCCCUUGAAGGGUCGUUCGAGACCAGGACGUUGAUAGGUCAGGUGUGGAAGCGCAGUAAUGCGUUAAGCUAACUGAUACUAAUUGCCCGUAAGGCUUG
rnacentral:rRNA from 1 species